rnacentral:rRNA from 1 species
UACCAGCUCUCCGAGUGGUGUGGAUGUUUAUUGGGCCUAAAGCAUCCGUAGCUGGCUGGACAAGUCCCCUGUUAAAUCCACCGAUUUAAUCGUUGGUGUGCGGGGGAUACUGUUCGGCUAGGGGACGGGAGAGGCAGACGGUAUUUUCGGGGUAGGGGUGAAAUCCUAUAAUCCCGGGAAGACCACCAGUGGCGAAGGCUGUCUGCUAGAACGCGCCCGACGGUGAGGGAUGAAAGCUGGGGGAGCGAACCGGAUUAGAUACCCGGGUAGUUCCAGCUGUAAACUAUGCGGGCUAGGUGUUGGGGUGGCUACGGGCCACUUCAGUGCCGCAGGAAAGCCAUUAAGCCCGCCGCCUGGGGAGUACGGCCGCAAGGCUGAAACUUAAGGGAAUUGGCGGGGGAGCACCACAAGGCGUGAAGCUUGCGGUUU